UGGGGAAUAUUGCACAAUGGGCGAAAGCCUGAUGCAGCGACGCCGCGUGAGGGAUGACGGCCUUCGGGUUGUAAACCUCUUUCAGCAGGGACGAAGCGCAAGUGACGGUACCUGCAGAAGAAGCACCGGCUAACUACGUGCCAGCAGCCGCGGUAAUACGUAAGGUGCAAGCGUUGUCCGGAAUUACUGGGCGUAAAGAGUUCGUAGGCGGGUUGUCGCGUCGUUUGUGAAAACCAGCAGCUCAACUGCUGGCUUGCAGGCGAUACGGGGAGACUUGAGUACUGCAGGGGAGACUGGAAUUCCUGGUGUAGCGGUGAAAUGCGCAGAUAUCAGGAGGAACACCGGUGGCGAAGGCGGGUCUCUGGGCAGUAACUGACGCUGAGGAACGAAAGCGUGGGUAGCGAACAGG
rnacentral:rRNA from 1 species